rnacentral:rRNA from 1 species
CAGGCCUAACACAUGCAAGUCGAACGAGAAAGUUCCUUCGGGAGCGAUUAAAGUGGCGCACGGGUGAGUAACGCGUAGACAAUCUGCCCUUCAGUCUUGGGACAACUUUUCGAAAGGAGAGCUAAUACCGGAUAACAAUGUUUAACAUAAGUUAAGUAUUUGAAAGCUUUAUGUGCUGAAGGAGGGGUCUGCGUCCCAUUAGCUAGUUGGUAAGGUAAAGGCUUACCAAGGCAACGAUGGGUAGCGGGUUUGAGAGGACGAUCCGCCACACUGGAACUGAGACACGGUCCAGACUCCUACGGGAGGCAGCAGUGGGGAAUAUUGCACAAUGGAGGAAACUCUGAUGCAGCAAUGUCGCGUGAGUGAAGAAGGCCCUUGGGUCGUAAAGCUCUUUUAUGGGGGAAGAUGAUGACGGUACCUCCAAGAAC